rnacentral:tRNA from 1 species
GCCGGGAUAGCUCAGUUGGUAAAGCAGAGGAC